rnacentral:lncRNA from 1 species
CAUGAUUUGUAUUUGAUCUGCGCAGAAUUUGUAUUUGUAAUUCGGACUUCUGGGGAUGACCCUAAAGUCCUGCCCUGGAUGAAAGUCCGAGGGUUGCUUAAUUUGAUCUGCGCAGAAUUUGUAAUUUGUAUUUGAUCUGCGCAGAAUUUGUAAUUGAACCAUAGGGUAAGCAGACUUGCGAGAACCUUGGUUCCACUCUGGAUGAAAGUCCAAGGUUUGGUUGUAAUUUUGGUUUGGGGCACCAUUUCUUUGCCUCGGUUUGUCCUGUCUAAUGUUUGUGCUGUCUAAUGUGCUGUCAUUUGUGUUAUGUGUUUCUUAAGCAUCUCUUUCUGUCCCACAUUGCCCAUGCACGUGGCAUGCAUGGGUCAGGGGUCUUUUCUUGUUGCCCUAAGCACAUGGCACGGGAAAGGAGUUCUGCCAUGUGUCACGGGUUAGAAUGUGUUAUGUUGGAGUCCCCCGAUGCUGCUUUUCUGAACUCGAACCACUGCUGCAGCCCUUACAGCUGAGCCUGGCCCAUGUAGUUUAUAAUGUCAGACAGACUGCCAGAUCUGGACAGUGACCCAAAGUCUCCAAAGAAGAUUACGAGGCACCUCAGUUCCUGCACCUGGACCAGUGAGCGAGAUGCUCAGAUGUGAAACCUGCCGCCUGCCAGAACCUGGCCAAGAAUGUGGACAAAGCUGCUGGGCACUGGAAAAUUGAUUGUACCCCUUUGCCUAGACAAAACAAGGUUUCUGCUUCUGGCAGACAUCUGAGUAUCAGUUGCGGACUACAGGCUGUUCUAAGUAGACUGCGAGCCCUGGACUUGCUGUAGAUGUGAACCAGUCAGCUGAUGUGGACACCCCCUGUCUCUGCAACAGUGUCUGCUAACCAGAAGCCCC